AACGUAGGAGACAAACGUUAUCCGGAGUUACUGGGCGUAAAGGGCGUGUAGGCGGUUUGUUAAGUCUGGCGUGAAAGCUCUCGGCUAAACCGGGAGAGGUCGUUGGAUACUGGCGAACUAGAGGAUGGUAGAGGCGUGUGGAAUUCCGGGUGUAGUGGUGAAAUGCGUAGAGAUCCGGAGGAACACCAGUGGCGAAGGCGACACGCUGGGCCAUACCUGACGCUAAAGCGCGACAGCAUGGGGAGCAAACGGG
rnacentral:rRNA from 1 species